CCUUUAAGUGAAGUGAACCCAUUUUAUAGCCAAUUGUUAGAAGACAGAGAAAAUCUAAAUUCUCUCAUCUCCUUGCUCUUCGACGCCGAUAGCCCUCUCUCCUUUCUCUUUUUUAUUUUUCCAGUCAACUCAAUCAUUUUCAAUGAUCGAGCACUCUAAACCCAAGUACUCAAUGAGAGGAAUAUGAAUAUAACUUUAGAUUGAGCUCUUGUUGCAUUGUUGAACAAAAAUCGAAGUUUGAAGAUUCGAGUGUUGUAGUAGAUUUGUUUUCCGGGGAUUCACACCAUUUCCAGCAAGUCUAGCUUACAAGGUUCAUACUGAUGCGGAUCCAUCAUCACUCGUCACUGGAUC